UACUGUGAAAUGAUGAGGUUUUCAUGUCUCUUCUCUGAUCAUUUAUGGAGACAAAUAAGCCUUUCUGAUCUCAGUA